UGGGGAAUUUUGGACAAUGGGCGAAAGCCUGAUCCAGCAAUGCCGCGUGUGUGAAGAAGGCCUUCGGGUUGUAAAGCACUUUUGUCCGGAAAGAAAUCCUUGGCUCUAAUACAGUCGGGGGAUGACGGUACCGGAAGAAUAAGCACCGGCUAACUACGUGCCAGCAGCCGCGGUAAUACGUAGGGUGCAAGCGUUAAUCGGAAUUACUGGGCGUAAAGCGUGCGCAGGCGGUUUGCUAAGACCGAUGUGAAAUCCCCGGGCUCAACCUGGGAACUGCAUUGGUGACUGGCAGGCUAGAGUAUGGCAGAGGGGGGUAGAAUUCCACGUGUAGCAGUGAAAUGCGUAGAGAUGUGGAGGAAUACCGAUGGCGAAGGCAGCCCCCUGGGCCAAUACUGACGCUCAUGCACGAAAGCGUGGGGGAGCAAAACAGGAUUAGAUACCCUGGUAGUCCACGCCCUAAACGAUGUCAACUAGUUGUUGGGGAUUCAUUUCCUUAGUAACGUAGCUAACGCGUGAAGUUGACCGCCUGGGGGAGUACGGUCGCAAGAUUAAAACUCAAAGGAAUUGACGGGGUCAUAGCUGUUUCC
rnacentral:rRNA from 1 species